rnacentral:lncRNA from 1 species
CCAGUUCAAGCCAUAGCAUCCAUUAGCUUCUCAUUCCCUCCCCGACUGCAAUUCGGAAAACUUACCAGGAAUGCUGGUGUCAGCAAAGACUGCUGUUGGCACUGCAGCCUCGCAGACGAGUGAAGGGCGGUGGGAUGGCAGCCGCAGGAGGAGGCAGGACGGCAGCACCUGUGCAAGGACAGGGAUGCAGCUUCUGCCACUCUUCCAGGGCGUCCGGCCCCUGCCCGGCUCUACGAGCCGAGUUUUCACACCCGACAUAACAGCCAGCRCAGCAAUGCCGCAGCUUCAGCGGGACCCUGAGCCCCAGGACAGCCAGCUUGGAAAACGCUUCCUGCUCAGGAGCGGCAUAAAACCAUACAAACGCCUUUUCUGCAAACUCCGAAAGCUGCCGAACGAGAAGGCCACCUCACCGGCGUUAACCCCGCGGCKGGUCCCUGCCCGGCACGCCGGGAGCAGUGCGUAACACAGCAACAUGCAGCGAGUGUUUCCUGGACAAGACAUGUGUGCUUUGGCUGCACAGAGCCGUAAUGCUCUUCCCGCAAGAGAAAAAGGUAAUUUUGUUCUUCAUUCCACCAUAGCCAAACAGAUCUCCAUUUAUAGCCUGGACAGUAAAUCAAAGCAACGCGAAGUCUCCUGCACGGAACUGAAGUGGUAAAUUUGGCAGGAAAUAAGACAUCCUCUUAGAAAGCCCGUUUGCUCUCCAUACACAGUGCUCCACCAACUCUCCGCUCAAAUCAGCAAACAGGCACGAAAAGUCAUUUCUAGAAAAACAAAGAGAAAUCUGCAAACUCUAGCAACCUUCGGUAAGACAGGCUGUAUGUUUUAGUCAUCAAAAUAACCAAUAACUUUGUCAAAGAAAUCAGCCCACUGGCUGUCUUCAACUCCUGGGUCCCAGGUACUCAAAUAUCGCAAUGGCCAUUAGUUUGGCUUCUUAUAAAAAUAAGGUCAUACUGGUAUCGCAUCUUCCCUCCGUGCUGUUCUGCUUUCUUCCUUCCUCCUCAGCUAACGUUAUUUUUUCCUAGAUUUCUUUCAGCCUUUCUUUCUUAGCUCUGUUUCCAUCAUGCAAACAUGCCAUGGCAAAGCGAUGUAAGAAAUGCAUAAUAUAUUUGCAGUAAUAUAUGAUUCAUUUUCUGGCUUUCAUAAUUAAUGUGGAUGUGUUUUACAUACGCAUUACUUCCUGCAUGCAUUUUAUGAUGUGAACACUCUUCAAAAAUCUAAUAAAAUG